CCGUUUGAUCAAUGUGAAAGUGAAGAAAGUCUCAGUUAGCCGUAGGUUUGUCAUAGUGCCACUUAGUUUUGUGUGAAACUGCUCAGUGAACUACAUC